rnacentral:rRNA from 1 species
UACGGAGGGUGCAAGCGUUAUCCGGAUUCACUGGGUUUAAAGGGUGCGUAGGCGGACAGGUAAGUCAGUGGUGAAAUCUCUGGGCUUAACUCAGAAACUGCCGUUGAUACUAUUUGUCUUGAAUGUCAUGGAGGUAAGCGGAAUAUGUCAUGUAGCGGUGAAAUGCUUAGAUAUGACAUAGAACACCGAUAGCGAAGGCAGCUUACUACAUGAAGAUUGACGCUGAGGCACGAAAGCGUGGGGAUCAAACAGG